rnacentral:rRNA from 1 species
GUGGGGAAUUUUGGACAAUGGGCGCAAGCCUGAUCCAGCAAUGCCGCGUGCAGGAAGAAGGCCUUCGGGUUGUAAACUGCUUUUGUACGGAACGAAAAGGCUCUGGUUAAUACCUGGGGCUCAUGACGGUACCGUAAGAAUAAGCACCGGCUAACUACGUGCCAGCAGCCGCGGUAAUACGUAGGGUGCAAGCGUUAAUCGGAAUUACUGGGCGUAAAGCGUGCGCAGGCGGGUUUGUAAGACAGGCGUGAAAUCCCCGGGCUCAACCUGGGAAUGGCGCUUGUGACUGCAAGGCUGGAGUGCGGCAGAGGGGGAUGGAAUUCCGCGUGUAGCAGUGAAAUGCGUAGAUAUGCGGAGGAACACCGAUGGCGAAGGCAAUCCCCUGGGCCUGCACUGACGCUCAUGCACGAAAGCGUGGGGAGCAAACAGGAUUAGAUACCCCAGUAGUCC